rnacentral:rRNA from 1 species
UGGCUCAGGAUGAACGCUAGCUACAGGCUUAACACAUGCAAGUCGAGGGGCAGCAUGGUCUUAGCUUGCUAAGGCCGAUGGCGACCGGCGCACGGGUGAGUAACACGUAUCCAACCUGCCGUCUACUCUUGGACAGCCUUCUGAAAGGAAGAUUAAUACAAGAUGGCAUCAUGAGUCCGCAUGUUCACAUGAUUAAAGGUAUUCCGGUAGACGAUGGGGAUGCGUUCCAUUAGAUAGUAGGCGGGGUAACGGCCCACCUAGUCUUCGAUGGAUAGGGGUUCUGAGAGGAAGGUCCCCCACAUUGGAACUGAGACACGGUCCAAACUCCUACGGGAGGCAGCAGUGAGGAAUAUUGGUCAAUGGGCGCAGGCCUGAACCAGCCAAGUAGCGUGAAGGAUGACUGCCCUAUGGGUUGUAAACUUCUUUUAUAAAGGAAUAAAGUCGGGUAUGGAUACCCGUUUGCAUGUACUUUAUGAAUAAGGAUCGGCUAACUCCGUGCCAGCAGCCGCGGUAAUACGGAGGAUCCGAGCGUUAUCCGGAUUUAUUGGGUUUAAAGGGAGCGUAGAUGGAUGUUUAAGUCAGUUGUGAAAGUUUGCGGCUCAACCGUAAAAUUGCAGUUGAUACUGGAUAUCUUGAGUGCAGUUGAGGCAGGCGGAAUUCGUGGUGUAGCGGUGAAAUGCUUAGAUAUCACGAAGAACUCCGAUUGCGAAGGCAGCCUGCUAAGCUGCAACUGACAUUGAGGCUCGAAAGUGUGGGUAUCAAACAGGAUUAGAUACCCUGGUAGUCCACACGGUAAACGAUGAAUACUCGCUGUUUGCGAUAUACUGCAAGCGGCCAAGCGAAAGCGUUAAGUAUUCCACCUGGGGAGUACGCCGGCAACGGUGAAACUCAAAGGAAUUGACGGGGGCCCGCACAAGCGGAGGAACAUGUGGUUUAAUUCGAUGAUACGCGAGGAACCUUACCCGGGCUUAAAUUGCAGAUGAAUUACGGUGAAAGCCGUAAGCCGCAAGGCAUCUGUGAAGGUGCUGCAUGGUUGUCGUCAGCUCGUGCCGUGAGGUGUCGGCUUAAGUGCCAUAACGAGCGCAACCCUUGUUGUCAGUUACUAACAGGUUCCGCUGAGGACUCUGACAAGACUGCCAUCGUAAGAUGUGAGGAAGGUGGGGAUGACGUCAAAUCAGCACGGCCCUUACGUCCGGGGCUACACACGUGUUACAAUGGGGGGUACAGAGGGCCGCUACCACGCGAGUGGAUGCCAAUCCCAAAAACCUCUCUCAGUUCGGACUGGAGUCUGCAACCCGACUCCACGAAGCUGGAUUCGCUAGUAAUCGCGCAUCAGCCACGGCGCGGUGAAUACGUUCCCGGGCCUUGUACACACCGCCCGUCAAGCCAUGGGAGCCGGGGGUACAAGAAGUGCGUAACCGCGAGGAGCGCCCUAGGGUA